AUCAAAAUGGGUGUGACCCCAAUGAGAUCGUGCAUUUUUUUCCCUACCCAGAGAAAAAAUGCUCAGACGCUGAAAGAUCAAUAAAUUCAAAAUUAACUGAUCAAUUAAGCGAACGUAUUCGGCAAUUAGCAGAUUUGAAACAGCAAUUGCUCAACAGAAUGGAGAAGGCUGAAGAAGACAUUGCUUCGUUACACGAAAACACAAAUCAAAUAAAAAGCAAAGAAAAGAAAAAAGAAAAAGAAAAUGCCGAUUUUACGAAAAAACAAGAAGAAAAUUACGGGCGGUUGAACAGUAAACAAGAAACAUUAACCAAGAAAUAUAAAAAAUUAUAAUCGCAAACAAAAGAACAAGGCAAAUUGUUAAAAGAAAUUGGCGAAACAAUUAAAUUGUUAGAACCUUCAGAGGAAGCGAAAUCAAAUAUUAAUGAGCUGAGGAAAGAAUUAUCUAAAACGAAUCGUUGUUUGACUGAUGUAAAGAAACACAUGGAGGAUCUACCUAAAGUCAAAGAGCAGUUGGAAAAUGCAAGAGAUGACUUGACAUAGCUGAAAGCACACAACACAACAUUGUCUGCGAGUUUUACUAAUGUGUGUUCAGCUUUAGUGAAAAAAAUUACCGCAAACAUAAAUUUGAAGUUUGGAACAGCCUGCUUCAUUCUGUCAAGUCGAGUUCAGCCGCUAGAAUCACAGGUGCAGAUAUUAAAGAAUAUCUUAACCACCAUGGACACGAG